GGCCGUAUAGUGUAAUGACUAGCACAUUCCAUCAACUGAUUUAUGAGGAGAAAUGUCGGUUCAAAUCCGACUAUGGCCC